UACGGGAGAAAGCAGGGGACCUUCGGGCCUUGCGCUAUCAGAUGGGCCUAGGUCGGAUUAGCUAGUUAGUGAGGUAAUGGCUCACCAAGGCGACGAUCCGUAACUGGUCUGAGAGGAUGAUCAGUCACACUGGAACUGAGACACGGUCCAGACUCCUACGGGAGGCAGCAGUGGGGAAUAUUGGACAAUGGGCGAAAGCCUGAUCCAGCCAUGCCGCGUGUGUGAAGAAGGUCUUCGGAUUGUAAAGCACUUUAAGUUGGGAGGAAGGGCAGUAAGUUAAUACCUUGCUGUUUUGACGUUACCGACAGAAUAAGCACCGGCU
rnacentral:rRNA from 1 species